rnacentral:lncRNA from 1 species
GAAAAUUAAGUGUAUAUAUAUAUAAGAAAAGUAAAAAGAAAUUAAUGCAGGUAAGGGUAGAAUUGGAGAAAGAAAGAACAAAAUGGGUCGUUUGGUACUGUAGACUGUUAUGGCUGGACUAAAUUCUAUGACUGUAUUGGAUUAGCCUGGAUUAGCUUAUGCUGGAUUUUAAUUUUUUUUAUUUUUAUAAUAAUCAAUUUUGUUCUUUUAUGCUAUGUUUGGUAGGCCUUACUGGACUGGACUGGGUUAAAUAACACUUGAAACUCUUGUUUAGUAAGAGGGGGGCUAACUUAAAUGAUAUUAUAUAGUCCAACAGUAAUAAAAAAUAUAAAAAAAAGCUCACUUGCUCUUCCAAUGUAAUGAGGCUGAAAUAUGGCUAACAAAAUAGCGAGGCUCAGAGAGAGAGAGAGAGAGAGAAAUCAGAGAAAAAGUGUGAGAUUGAAAGGGAGAGAGAACAUAAGAGAGUGAGUUCUUCACUAAUUAAAUUUAAAUUUAAGUAUUUAAAUAAUUAUUUUUUGGUCCGACACAACACCAAAUAUAGAUAUUAACUAUUUUUACAAUCCACCUUCUUUUUUGUUUAUACUUUGAGAUCAUAUACGCCAAAAAUCAGAAAAGAUAAACAUUCAGUGAUCAAGUAAUGGGACAAAACUUUUGACAGUUAUAAAUGAAAAAUCACGAUUUAACGG